ACCAGGAUGGCCGAGUGGUCAAGACGUUGGACCUAAGAUCCAAUAGAUAUAUAUCCGCGUGUGUUCGAACCCCACUCCUGGUA
rnacentral:tRNA from 2 species